rnacentral:lncRNA from 1 species
UUCGACCAGUCUUUUGAGUUGAAAUAUGUUGAUCCGUGGAAGCAACAGCUGGGUCUUAUGGCUCUUUUCACUCUGUCUUAUCUGUUGAGUAACAAAGGACUUGAAUUUCCAAGGACUUUUUUUUUUUUUCAGCCUUAGCAAGAAAAGAAAGAAAAAAAAUCAGGAAAAGAAGGCUUUUGGGAACAUACGCCAUUUGUUAUUUUGAGCAAGUAGGUCUUCUUUAGAAGUCUUCCAAGAAGGUAAAGAUGACUUUCCAAAAGAAGGAAAAUUACUUAGCAUCUUCCACAUUUCAGGGAUGUAGCAGAAUUUGAUGAAGAGCAAAAGAUGUCUUUGCCGGGAGAGUCCAUCUUUAGGUAUGUGAGAGGAAGCACCAGAUGUUUGGCACAGCAUCUCAACUUGAUGUCUAUUUCUUCUUGUUCUCCUUCACCUCACAUGAACCUUCCAAGUCAUAAUUCUUUGGAAAUAGACACAAGGAGCUUUAUUUCAAAUUAACAUCUUUUACUUAAGGAGUUCCAUCUCCAAGGGCAGUAGGAGUCAAAAAAAAAAAAAAAAAACCAAAAAACAAAAAAAACUCAUUGUAGAAUUUCUUGGCUAUGUAUAUUUUGGAGAAAAAAAAAAAAAGAAAGAAAAUGAAAAGAAAGAAACCAGAGGCACAAGAUUGUUAAGCAAUGUCUUCUUGUUCGCAUCAGCCAGAGACUCAGGAAUAGGAAUCAAACUCCAAGAAUUUUACGUUUGAUUCUUUUUUAACAUUUGAUUUACUGAAAACUGAAACUAUUCUAUCAGUCGCUCCGCAACUUCAACUUUGAUCAAUGCCUCUAUUCAAUAGGGGGUCAAAUACCUGAAGGGAAAUAAAAGAAUUCUCUGGAACAUAAGGCAGGGGAAGGAUCAUUUGUGUGUGCCUGCUGAAAAGACAAACGACUCACGUUCCUGGCUCUCUCGCUGUGGCCAUGUUCUCUGCCGCUCAGUUGAUCAUAGACAAUCUUGGACUCCAGCUAAUCUGCUGCUUUUCAAAGCAAACUAAUGGAAAUAAAGGUUUAAAUAUCUGGAAACAAAAUCAUGAUUUUUUAAAAAAAUCUAGCAGCACGAAAAAAAUUUCCUGACAAAGUGUACAUUAUGU